rnacentral:rRNA from 1 species
UACGAAGGGUGCAAGCGUUAAUCGGAAUUACUGGGCGUAAAGGGCGCGUAGGCGGUUCGUUAAGUCUGUUGUGAAAUCCCCGGGCUCAACCUGGGAAUGGCAAUGGAUACUGGCGGGCUAGAGUGUGUCAGAGGAUGGUGGAAUUCCCGGUGUAGCGGUGAAAUGCGUAGAGAUCGGGAGGAACAUCAGUGGCGAAGGCGGCCAUCUGGGACAACACUGACGCUGAAGCACGAAAGCGUGGGGAGCAAACAGG